UUAUCAAAAAAAUUCACGCUUUUAAACAGACACUGAAUAAGAACAAUACAGGUCUCUUUCGAGGCCCUGUAACUGGAAUGAGCGUAUCCUAAACCCAUGGGCGAGGACCCAUUAGAGGGCAAGUCUGGUGCCAGCAGCCGCGGUAAUUCCAGCUCCAAUAGCGUAUAUCAAAGUUGCAGCAGUUAGAAAGCUCGUAGUUGGAUUUUGGGAGUGGGAUGGCGGUCCGCUGCCCUUAGCUGGGUGUCCGGUACCUCGGGGCCCAGAGCGUUUACUUUGAAAAAAUUUGAGUGUUCAAAGCAGGCCGGCCAGCCGCCGCUGAAUACCGCAGCUAGGAAUAAUGGAAUAGGACUCCGGUUCUAUUUUCUGGAACCUGGGGCCAUGAUUGAGAGGGACGGCCGGGGGCAUUCGUAUUGCGCCGCUAGAGGUGAAAUUCUUGGACCGGCACAAGACGCACGAAAGCGAAAUCAUUUGCCAAGAAUGUUUUCAUUAAUCAAGAACGAAAGUCGGAGGUUCGAAGACGAUCAGAUACCGUCAUAGUUCCGACCGUAAACAAUGCCGACCCGCGAUCCGGCGGCGUUAUUCCCAUGACCCGCCGGGCAGCGUGCGGGAAACCAUGAGUCUUUGGGUUCUG
rnacentral:ncRNA from 1 species